rnacentral:lncRNA from 1 species
UUUACAUCUGACCCUAAGUAAAGCUUGUUGCUGUUUCCAAAACUAGUAACGUUGGGCUUUUUUUUCAGCUCUUUAUAUUUUGAAAUCUUGUUUUCUUAUUGAUACCAUUUUUUAUUUUCUUGAGUUAGUCCAUACGAUGACCCAAAACCAUGCAGACAGUGAAGAGGAAGGAUUUUAACGAAGCAAGAAGGAUACAGCAUUCUCUACAAGUAAAACUUGCCAUCAGCAUAUGUUCAUGCACCAGAAUUCAGGUGAAAGGAGAAGACAUAAGUUCAUAUCAAGUCACUUGGAAGUCUGUAAAGUACGUGCUCAAGAAAAGCAGGAGAACCAGCCCUCCAGAGGUAACCAUUUUUCUCCAUUGACUGUAGAGGGAGCCGAGAAACUAACUUUAACAUGGUGCCUAACAUUUUCUCGGUGAGGCUGUGGUGAAAUUCCUUUUGCUUGUGCAUGCGGCCUUGCACAUUGCAAACAGCCAGAGCUGGAGGGGGUCUCAAACUGUGGGAUGACUGUGACUUUGUGUGUCUUAUUCUCUAUGUCUUCAGUAGCUUUACUCAGCAAACAUCCACAUUCAGAUUUAUUUUUACUGCUGUUGUAUAAACAGUUUGUUCCAGCCAGCUCCUAAAUGGUCCUGCUUGGUACACAUUUUCCCAGCAAGAGAAAGGUAAAUGCUACGUGAAGCUCAUGCGGGAGGAAGGUGUGCAUGACUGUUACUACAGGUAGGAAAGGAAGUUUGUAAUACAAACACGAGAUUUCUUCUCCCUGCUCACUCUUCAAAACAGAUGUAUUUUUAUCAUGUAAUGCAUGUUAGUUUUAGAUGCAUUACAUUUUCAUUGAUUAUAAUCUAUUUUGAAUUAUCAUUUUUUCUGUGACCUGAAUGAAAAAAAUCCUGAAAGUACAGAAAUGCAACAGCAGCUGUUAGUCUUGCAGAUGUACAGAUAAAAACACACAGAGAACUGGAAGGUUUAUCUUGCUUGCUGAGCACUUGACAGAUGCUUCACCAAAAAAAAAAAAAAAAAAAAAAAAAAAAAAAAAGAAAGUUUUCAGCUGUAUGGGAACUAUUUAAGGGACUGACAGUCUGAUAUGUUUUACUGCUUAAACCUGAUUCUUACCCAUCUGAGUGUGGUGAUGUUCUCCCCCUGCCCCAGCCUGAACUUUGUUUCCCAUGCCCCUAUUCAUCUCAUGCCAAAUCUGGAAGAAAUUAAUAUGUGUGGUCAGCAUGCAAAUAUGGCUGUCCAUCAGUCAUGUUACCAUAUAAAAAGUAAGCAGCCCUAGAGACCACUGAGCUCCUCUGUACAACAGCAGGAUCUUCUGUUAAGUAGGGAUGUCUCUAAAGGUUGCUCUUGCUGUGGAGUUACCGUAUAC